GUCUACAGCCAUGCCACCCCGAACAUGACCAAUCUUGUCUGAUCUCAGAAGCUAAGCAGGGUUGGGCCUGGUUAGUACUUGGAUGGGAGACCACCUAGGAAUACCAGGUGCUAUAGGCA
rnacentral:rRNA from 1 species